rnacentral:rRNA from 1 species
UACGUAGGUGGCAAGCGUUGUCCGGAUUUACUGGGCGUAAAGGGCGUGCAGGCGGUUUGUUAAGUGCAGAGUGAAAGCUCCCGGCUCAACUGGGAGAGGUCUUUGCAUACUGGCAAACUCGAGGGAGGCAGAGGAAAGUGGAAUUCCCGGUGUAGUGGUGAUAUGCGUAGAUAUCGGGAGGAACACCUGUGGCGAAGGCGGCUUUCUGGGCCUUACCUGACGCUGAGACGCGAAAGCGUGGGGAGCAAACGGG